rnacentral:rRNA from 1 species
AGUGAACGCUGGCGGUAGGCCUAACACAUGCAAGUCGAACGGCAGCACAGUAAGAGCUUGCUCUUACGGGUGGCGAGUGGCGGACGGGUGAGGAAUACAUCGGAAUCUACUUUUUCGUGGGGGAUAACGUAGGGAAACUUACGCUAAUACCGCAUACGACCUACGGGUGAAAGCAGGGGAUCUUCGGACCUUGCGCGAUUGAAGGAGCCGAUGUCGGAUUAGCUAGUUGGCGGGGUAAAGGCCCACCAAGGCGACGAUCCGUAGCUGGUCUGAGAGGAUGAUCAGCCACACUGGAACUGAGACACGGUCCAGACUCCUACGGGAGGCAGCAGUGGGGAAUAUUGGACAAUGGGCGCAAGCCUGAUCCAGCCAUACCGCGUGGGUGAAGAGGGCCUUCGGGUUGUAAAGCCCUUUUGUUGGGAAAGAAAAGCAGCAGGUUAAUACCCCGCUGUUCUGACGGUACCCAAAGAAUAAGCACCGGCUAACUUCGUG